rnacentral:rRNA from 1 species
GCUAGUCGAACGGUAACGGUCCUUCGGGAGCCGACGAGUGGCGGACGGGUGAGUAACGCGUAGGAAUCUGCCUGGUAGUGGGGGACAACUCGGAGAAAUCCGAGCUAAUACCGCAUACGCCCUGAGGGGGAAAGCGGGGGAUCUUCGGACCUCGCGCUAUCAGAUGAGCCUGCGUUGGAUUAGCUAGUUGGUGGGGUAAAGGCCUACCAAGGCGACGAUCCAUAGCUGGUCUGAGAGGACGAUCAGCCACACUGGGACUGAGACACGGCCCAGACUCCUACGGGAGGCAGCAGUGGGGAAUAUUGGACAAUGGGCGCAAGCCUGAUCCAGCAAUACCGCGUGUGUGAAGAAGGCCUGAGGGUUGUAAAGCACUUUCAAUAGGGAGGAAAAAGCGUUGGUUAAUAGCCGAUGCCUUGACAUUACCUAUAGAAGAAGCACCGGCUAACUCCGUGCCAGCAGCCGCGGUAAUACGGAGGGUGCGAGCGUUAAUCGGAAUUACUGGGCGUAAAGCGUGCGUAGGCGGUUAUUUAAGUCAGAUGUGAAAGCCCCGGGCUUAACCUGGGAACGGCAUUUGAUACUGGGUAACUUGAGUUUAGGAGAGGAGAGUGGAAUUUCCGGUGUAGCGGUGAAAUGCGUAGAGAUCGGAAGGAACACCAGUGGCGAAGGCGGCUCUCUGGCCUAAAACUGACGCUGAGGUACGAAAGCGUGGGUAGCAAACAGGAUUAGAUACCCUGGUAGUCCACGCCGUAAACGAUGUCAACUAGCCGUUGGGUCUUUAUUAAGACUUAGUGGUGCAGCUAACGCAUUAAGUUGACCGCCUGGGGAGUACGGCCGCAAGGUUAAAACUCAAAUGAAUUGACGGGGGCCCGCACAAGCGGUGGAGCAUGUGGUUUAAUUCGAUGCAACGCGAAGAACCCUUACCUACUCCUUGACAUCCAGAGAAUCUGUGAGAGAUCGU